rnacentral:rRNA from 1 species
GAUGAACGCUGGCGGCGUGCCUAAUACAUGCACGUCGAGCGAACGGACGAGAAGCUUGCUUCUCUGAUGUUAGCGGCGGACGGGUGAGUAACACGUGGAUAACCUACCUAUAAGACUGGGAUAACUUCGGGAAACCGGAGCUAAUACCGGAUAAUAUUUUGAACCGCAUGGUUCAAAAGUGAAAGACGGUCUUGCUGUCACUUAUAGAUGGAUCCGCGCUGCAUUAGCUAGUUGGUAAGGUAACGGCUUACCAAGGCAACGAUGCAUAGCCGACCUGAGAGGGUGAUCGGCCACACUGGAACUGAGACACGGUCCAGACUCCUACGGGAGGCAGCAGUAGGGAAUCUUCCGCAAUGGGCGAAAGCCUGACGGAGCAACGCCGCGUGAGUGAUGAAGGUCUUCGGAUCGUAAAACUCUGUUAUUAGGGAAGAACAUAUGUGUAAGUAACUGUGCACAUCUUGACGGUACCUAAUCAGAAAGCCACGGCUAACUACGUG